rnacentral:lncRNA from 1 species
GCAUUUUCGUUCGUUUGUGGUAAUUAUUGUCUAACCAUGGAUUAACUAGGCUCAAAAGAUUCGUCUCGUCAAUUCUAACCAAACUGUGCAAUUACUUUUUAUUUUCGUCUAUAUCAUUGCUGCACGUUCGGGCAUUAGCACCGGUCGGGAAGGGUCUGUUGUCUCGGUUCCUGAGCCGGUGCUGCCCUUCCGGGACUAAAGACCCACCCUUUAGUCCCGGUUCAGAUAACCCAGGCUAAAGCCCCCCUUUAACACCGGUUGGUUAUACCAACCGGUUUUAAAGGGUCCUGCCAGGGCUGCCACGUUGCAGGACCCUUUAACACCGGUUGAUAUUACCGACCGGUGUUAAAGGGGUCUUUCUUUUCUUUUUUUUGGUUUAUUUCUUUUUAUUGUUUAUAUAUAAUAAGAAUAGGUUUGUCAAUAUAUAUUUUAAGCUGAUAUAAUAAUAUAUAUAUUACACGCAUAAUAAGCAUAAAUAUUAUUAUAGGCUUAGCUUUAUAAUUAAGCUUUGCCUAUAAUAAAACGAAUAGGCCACAUCAAUAAUUAAAUAGAUGGAUAUGUAAAAAGCUUUAUAUAUAGUUUUAUAAUUACAAAAUUCGUAACAUAUAUAUAUAUAUAUAUAGAAUUUUUUUCUCCGAAUCUAAAGCCGAUACAAAUGAUCAUCACUGUUUGGAAUAAGAGUUUUGUUGCAGUUGAAGUGAAACUCGCCGUUUGGAUUGAUCACUUGCUCGUGGAGGAAUCUUGCUAUCGUCUCUUGAAUAGCAUUGAUGCGGUCUUUUUGCAUGACCUUUUCCCUCAACCAUUCCGUCUUCAAUUUGAAAUAAAAUAAAAAAGGUAUUAUUUAUAUAAGUUAUUCAAUAUAAUUCAGGAGAUAAUGAAAAGAGACAUGUAACGUACUCUAAGCGUAUCUAUGGGUGUUUGAUUGACGUGUACCAUCAAGAAUUUGCACACGUAAUAUCCACAUAGGUUGUUCCCCCUUCUUGUCUUAAACACCACUGUACGAUAUAUAUAUAAAAAAUUCAAGACCACGACAAUAAGAAAGCUAAAAGUUAGCGAAAGUUUGCUAGCUAGUACAACUUACUUGUGAAUGAAUUAUAUUAAGCGGCGCUUUACAACCAAUGAGAUGUUCACGGUCAAUAAAUCUUUCCCAAACUCUAAACAUAUCCAUCGUAGAUCGUCAACUAAUAAUUACAGAGUCAUAUCAUGAUAUUCUUCUAGCCGAGAUCGACAUUACCUACCUUUGAAUAAUGUUUACCAUUUGUUGGUAAUUUUUUAUGGUUUUCUCAUUGAGUCAUAGAUUAUCAACCGGUUCUUGGGAAUUUCAAUGACCAUGAGUAUCCAGUGAAAGCUGUUUACACACACAUAUAUAUAGUCAGGCCUAUAACUAUAUAAAACUUGAAUUGAGUAAUAAUAAGUAAAAUAAAAUGUGCAUGCACUUAAUAACUAUAUAACUCACUUAAAGUUGUAGGGGAAGAGUAUUUUUUGUUUUUAUUUUUGGUUCACGGAGAACCUCAUAAGAUUGGUGCAGACUUCUAUCUCAUGAGAUGCUGUCCACACUGUCUGUGGAGCCUUGAAAUAAAUAUAAGGUUCAACUAACCUAAUACUAUUGUCAUUUUUGCUUCUGAGCUCUCUCAUUUGGUGCGUGCAUAUAUACAUAUAAAUCUUAAAUGUGUAAGGAUUAUAUAUAAUUAAAGAAGGUAGAAGUUUAAUAAAAAAGAAAGAAGUAAUUACAGACAAAAGCAGCUGACGAGAGAUUUGUCGAGAGCGUCAAGGUGACAUAAAUAGUGCAAUUCUUCUAACUGGACGUAUAUCAGGUCAUCUCUAUGGAAGUAGUGAUGUUGUCGAAUACGAACAGAAAUGCAAUUAUCUUCCCUUUUAGACGUCUCCAUGCACCACUUGUUUAUUGUAAACAUUUAUGUGCCGAGCUCAUGUAAAUGCUUAGGGUUCAUUAGACUUCUGCCCGGUUCAUAUCUUGCCUCCAUUGAUCAACUACCUCAGCCUUUUCAAAUGUGUUACGUCCAGCAAUGGCGGCAAUGUCUUCAAUAUUAAGACCGCUCUGUCCAAAGUAAUGCUCAAGCGAAUCUAGCUCAGACAAGCUUAAAGAUUGCUUUGACAUCAAGUCCUCAUUUGAGUUGUAUUGAUUUGGCACAAUCAAUGGGGGCACCGGUUUUGAUACUUUCUCGGGUUGUGGGACCCUCUUUCCUACUCUCUUUCUAGGCUGUGCAGACUUGACCAGAGAGCGCUCAUAGUCCGAAAGUGCUGGCUUUUUCUGAGCUUCCCGCUGUUUCUUUUGGUGGUCCGCCACCUUCUUCCUUAGUUCCUCUGGCUUUACAUAAAAGUAUGGCUUUUCUAGGUUUCGCCGCUCUUUCACUUCCUGGUGCAAUUUAUCGAACCAUUGUUUGACCUC